rnacentral:rRNA from 1 species
CCUACGGGAGGCAGCAGUGGGGGAUAUUGCACAAUGGGGGGAACCCUGAUGCAGCGACGCCGCGUGGGUGAAGGAGUAUUUCGGUAUGUAAAGCCCUAUCGGCAGGGGAGAAAUCGGACGGUAGCUGACUAAGAAGCACCGGCUAACUCAGUGCCAGCAGCCGCGGUAAUACGGAGGGGGCAAGGGUUAUCCGGAUUUACUGGGUGUAACGGGAGCGUAGACGGUCAGGCAAGCCUGGAGUGGAAGCCCGGGGCGCAACUCCGGGACUGCUCUGGAAACUGUCCGGCUGGAGAGCGGGAGGGGCAGGCGGAAUGCCUGGUGUAGCGGUGAAAUGCGUAGAGAUCAGGAGGAACACCGGCGGCGAAGGCGGCUUGCUGGGCCGCGACUGACGUUGAGGCUCGAAAGCGUGGGGAGCAAACAGGAUUAGAUACCCGGGUAGUC